GCUCAUUUUACUUAGCUGCUGAAGAAGGAGAGUCGCAUUCAGCCAGGGAUCACUGAGCAUUCAAAAGUCCAUCUGAGACCUGCUUUCAUUGCACUGCCUCGUGAGGAGCUGUAGGAGAAGAUAUCAUAACUAUUCCCCACUUCUAAUUGUUAGAAGCAACAGCUGUCUAUCAAGAACAAUCUGAGGAUUGUGCACAAAUUGAUUUGGUUCUAUCAAGUGCUGGCUUUCGAUUCCAGUCUGACUUCACUACCACAGGAGCUUCUUGCUCAGGCUUCUGUUCCGGCUCCAUUCUCUCCCUGCCAUUAUAAUGCCAUCCACUGCAGCACCAUCUCUUCAAUCACUCUUCAGAAAUGCAAAUUGCUGCCUUCAGAAGGAAGCACACGGGCCUAUGAAUUUUAUAUCAGCAGGGAUUACCAAUGAGUCAUGCUUGAUGUUGUAAAAACUAUUCAGGAACCAAGAAAAGGGGCAGAAUAAGUGAGAGAAUGAACGAGAAUGAAAAAAAGAAUAGAACCAGUCGGCCAGUGACAUUUUCUAGUGAAACACAUAUGGGAUGCAAGAAAAGGACUCAGAAAAGCCUUGGGAGUAAAUAUUGAAAUGAUCUUGAAUGAUUUGGCAGGAGAAGAUGUGUCAGCAGGGCUUACCGUAUAGCUCCGAAGGAUGGUGAUGACGACACCACAGACCAAGAUAGUUUACAAAGGCUUAAUGGAGCUCAGAUAUUUGAGAAAAAAAAAAAAAAGAUUAACCAUAUUCAGCUGAGAAAAGGGAACACAAACACAUCUGGGGAAAGUAAUCUUAAAUAAAGAUACUCAGAUGGAGAAAAACAUGUGUCAAGCCUGGACCUGGAGUAAAAGCAGACAGAAAAAAUUUGAGUUGCAAGGGAUUACAACAGCUCAGAAAGGAAAACAUUCAUGAUCUCAUUCCACCUGAAGCCAGUGCCUCUGUAAUGUGUAGCAGAAUCCUAUGGAGAAGUUGUAAAAACACAAAAUGUUGGCCCCACCCCAAGAGUUUCUGAUUUUGCAGGUCUGGAGAGGGCCUGUGAUACGUACUUCUAACAAGCUCCCAGGCGAUGCUAAUGUUGCUGGUCUAGAAACACACUUUGAGAGCCACUGUUUUACAAUGUAUUCACCCAGCUUAUGCAAUCAACUACUAUCACAGCAAAGUCCAAAGAAUGCUCCUUAUUUGUUUGUUAUACUGGAGUUUGGCUUGGCUAAAUAUUAUUUGAAACUGAAUGGCUGUUGA
rnacentral:lncRNA from 1 species